UACGUAGGUGGCAAGCGUUAUCCGGAUUUAUUGGGCGUAAAGGGAACGCAGGCGGUCUUUUAAGUCUGAUGUGAAAGCCUUCGGCUUAACCGGAGUAGUGCAUUGGAAACUGGAAGACUUGAGUGCAGAAGAGGAGAGUGGAACUCCAUGUGUAGCGGUGAAAUGCGUAGAUAUAUGGAAGAACACCAGUGGCGAAAGCGGCUCUCUGGUCUGUAACUGACGCUGAGGCUCGAAAGCGUGGGGAGCAAACAGG
rnacentral:rRNA from 1 species